GGCUGGCAGUGGGGUUGGGAGCGCCCGGCCGCGGGCACGGCAGCACCAGGACUCGUUUCCUAUCUGCUCUCAGGUCCCACUGCCAAACCAAUCCCCCCAUACACCCACCCUGCAGAUUCCGGGACCCAAACUUGGCCGAUCGUUGGCAAAGUCCAGACCUUGGCUUAUUCCUUUGGGCAGCGGACACAGCUGAACGCAAUCAGCGCUGCUUUCAGGAGCUCCUCCUGCCUCCAGGAUACAAACAGCAGCCGGGUGUCCUCAGACGUGGGAUGUCUCCCCAGCACCACCACGUUGACGGUGCCUUCCAAAGCAUGGCUUUCCUGUGUCUCAUGAAGCAUCACCGCGGUGACCAGUGAGGAUGUCCCGUGCUGGGGAGCAGAUGGAGAUCUGCACUGUGCUGCACCCCCUGUCCUCAUACCACCAG
ensembl:lncRNA